CCGGGUGGCGAGGAAGGAGGUGGAGAGGUCAGGUGGCCAGCCCUGGCUGGGGCAGCCCUUCCAGCUCCUGGUUCUGCUUCAGUUCCCUCAUCCUGCGGAGACAGAGGAGGACUGAGGAGACCAGGGAAUCAGCAAAGAGGCAACUAUUGAGGAAGACCUUCAGCAACAGUCUAGAGAGAGUGGCUCCAGAGUUCAUCAGCCAGUUCAGGUCCCUUCUCAAACACCACCAGGGGCCUCAGCCAGAAUGGAGCUAUGGCUGUGAAGAAGCCAGCUUCUUCCCACCCAUCUUUCUUUGAAGAAGAAUAUGGAGGUUUUUUUCUGAGCUGAUCACCUGGCAGAGGCAGAGCUGGGGAAAUGGUCCACAUUCUCCAGAAGUACCUGAAUUGGAGAAACCUCUGGACCCUGGCAAGAUGCCUGCCCAGCUGCUGCAAUCUCUGCCAUCCGCUUCUCCAUCUGCUCCAGCCGUUCCAGGAUGGACAUCCGGAACUGUCUUUCCUAGGCAGAAUGUUCCCUUAGUUCUUUUCCCAGACACUCCCUGUCUGCUAUGCUGGGCUGAAGGACUCCAGGAUUCCUCCUCUAAGGCCCCAAGAGUAAAGCAGAUUACGGACCAGAGCCUGUGAGAGAAGAUGGAUGGCAAGAGACAAGAAAACUAAGGGCACAGCUGAAAAGAACCAGGAGGCAACAGAGCCGCCAACAGGAUGAGAAAAGAACAGCAGAUCUUGGGGAGAGUAGCAGGAUCAGACAAUUUGCAAAACUCCAGUUAAGAAAAUGAACAAAAGCAUCAGAAACAGAACCACCUUAAAAUAUGCCUACAUACAUAUAGGUGUGUGCCUAUUGCCUCUUAUCCUGGGAAUCUAUGUCAACAAUAGCAAUGUCAGUAGUGUUACAGAUUUCCAAUUUCCUGUUUGUAUUUUCCUAUAAUUUCUAACAUUCCUAUAAUGAAUACAUAUCUUUAUAAUCAAAAGGAACACAGAAAUUAUAUGAUUUUUUUUCUGAGAUAGGGAUCUUGCUAAGUUGUCCAGGGAGGCCUCAGACUUGAGAUCCUCCUACCUCAGCCUCCAGAAAAGCUAGAAUUAUAAAUGUACACUGCUACUCCUUGCUAAGCUUUAUUUAUUUAAUAGAAAAUUUGAGCUGUGCAUGGUGGUACAUGCCUACAAUCCCAACCUGCACUUGGGAGGUAGAGGUAGAAGGAUCCAGGAGUUCAAGGUCAUUUGGUACACAGUGUGUUUGGGGUCAGCCUGGACUAGAUGAGACCCUAUUCAAAAAAAUAACAAAAAUUGUGCUUGCAUGGUAGUACAUGCCUUUGAUUCUAG